UACGGGGGGGGCAAGCGUUGUCCGGAUUUAUUGGGCGUAAAGAGCGUGUAGGCGGCCAGAUAGGUCGGUUGUGAAAACUGGAGGCUCAACCUCCAGACGUCGACCGAAACCAUCUGGCUAGAGUCCGGAAGAGGAGAGUGGAAUUCCUGGUGUAGCGGUGAAAUGCGCAGAUAUCAGGAAGAACACCCGUGGCGAAGGCGGCUCUCUGGGACGGUACUGACGCUGAGACGCGAAAGCGUGGGGAGCGAACAGG
rnacentral:rRNA from 1 species